AGUGAAUGCUGGCGGUAGGCCUAACACAUGCAAGUCGAACGGCAGCACAGUAAGAGCUUGCUCUUACGGGUGGCGAGUGGCGGACGGGUGAGGAAUACAUCGGAAUCUACUUUUUCGUGGGGGAUAACGUAGGGAAACUUACGCUAAUACCGCAUACGACCUACGGGUGAAAGCAGGGGAUCUUCGGACCUUGCGCGAUUGAAUGAGCCGAUGUCGGAUUAGCUAGUUGGCGGGGUAAAGGCCCACCAAGGCGACGAUCCGUAGCUGGUCUGAGAGGAUGAUCAGCCACACUGGAACUGAGACACGGUCCAGACUCCUACGGGAGGCAGCAGUGGGGAAUAUUGGACAAUGGGUGCAAGCCUGAUCCAGCCAUACCGCGUGGGUGAAGAAGGCCUUCGGGUUGUAAAGCCCUUUUGUUGGGAAAGAAAAGCAGCAGGUUAAUACCCCGCUGUUCUGACGGUACCCAAAGAAUAAGCACCGGCUAACUUCGUG
rnacentral:rRNA from 1 species